rnacentral:rRNA from 1 species
GUGAGGAAUUUUCCGCAAUGGGCGAAAGCCUGACGGAGCGACGCCGUGUGUGGGAUGACGUUUUUCGGAAUGUAAACCACUGUCAGGGGGGACGAUAUUGACGGUACCCCCAGAGGAAGGCCCGGCUAACUACGUGCCAGCAGCCGCGGUAAUACGUAGGGGCCAAGCGUUGUCCGGAAUCAUUGGGCGUAAAGGGCGUGUAGGUGGUUCGGUAAGUCAGAUGUUAAAUCUGCGGGCUCAACCCGCAGCCGCAUCUGAGACUGCCGGACUAGAGAAUGGUAGAGGAAAGCGGAACUUCCGGUGUAGCGGUGAAAUGCGUAGAUAUCGGAAGGAACACCAGUGGCGAAGGCGGCUUUCUGGGCCAUUUCUGACACUGAGGCGCGAAAGCUAGGGGAGCAAACGGGAUUAGAUACCCUUGUAGUCC